CUUAUAGCUCUACCAGUUGAUUAUCAUCAUCAUCAUAGAUAAUAAUCUAGACUAGUAUUCUAGAUCUAUAAAUAAUCAUAGUCACCGUGAUAGUGCCCUUUUUAGUCAAUGUAGUCAAGUCAAGAUAGUGGAACGUAAACUCGAAGGUUUAAUACAAUACAGUAUAAGUAGAGUCUAUGAGUUAGUAUAAGAUCUAAUUAUUUUGUUUCUUUGUAUGUCAAUGUCUCAAUUAAAAUAAUUAAUAUCAUCAGCCAUAUCAUUUUAAAUAUUAAAAUAGUAGACAUAGAUUUCUAUAUAUUAUAAAUAGAUAGAUUAGAUCUAUAAAAUAUAAUUUUACAAACUUUAGAAAUGAUUGAUUUUAUUUUUAAUUGAUCAGCCUUCUAGACUAGAUUUAGCAUCUCUAGCUAGACUCUAACUUGUAGUUUGUAGAUCUUGGAAUUGGAUCGAAAUUCACCUUCCUAAAUCGUCUCUAAAGUCUGUAGCUGAUUUGAGAGGCCCAACGAGGCAAGAGUCUAUUACUAUUAGUACUCUGUCUCUUGAUCUAUCUAGUAGGCCUACUUAGCUAGUGCAUUAGUGUAGUCAAAUCUUGACAACUAGUCUUCUAGAUCUAAGCUUCUAGAAUAAUUAGAUCUAGAUCCAGUUUAGAUUUAGAAUAUAAAAGUAUUUUACUAGCUAAAAUACUAAAUCUACUGAUCUAAAUUCUAGAUAGAUAUACAAUAUAUAGAUCCAGUUUAGAUUUGGAAUAUAAAAAUAUUUACUAGCUAAAAUUCUAAAUCUACUGAUCUAUACUUAUUAUUUUAGAUAUUAUAUGACAUCUACAAAAAUUAUUAUUAAGAUAUAAUUAUAGAUUCUAGACUAGUUAUUUAUGUACAUAAAAUAUAUAAAUAAAAGAUAAAAUUUAUGCAGGCCUAGAUCCCAUAAAUUUAUAAUUGAUCCAGAUCUAUCAGUAAAAGUUACCUUCGAUGGGAAGUUCUACCCAAUCUAAUCUAUACAAGACAAUUUAUAAUCCAUGCCUCGCCUACACCCCAUACAUUAAAUAAUAGUUCCCAUUCCAUGCCAUGCCCAGACCCAUGAGUUCAUGAAAUAAUAAAUGAUGUGGUGUCAAGUUGGAUCUAUCCCCUGAAAUUCAGCACUUUAAUAUAAAACUCACAUAUCUAGUUAAUUAUUUGCUAUGACACUCUGAUCAACUUGGACUUGUGUAAUACAUAUAUGUUUCUUAUCAGAUUUAAUGAAUGAAGUUUUGGUGCAUUUUAAGGCUACAAAAGUAUCAUCAGGUGCAUUUUAACCAUUGGUAUUUUUCCUGGCAACAUUUCUAUUCUAGUCUGUGAUAAAUUAUAAAUUUAAAAAAAUGUUUGUAAUGUUUCAGUUAUUAACAAGUAGAACCAUGCCAACCAGUUCUGAUGAUGUACCAGAAUGGCUCAAGGAUCAUACUUAUACUAUUUCUACUCUCUGGGCAGACAUUAAUAAUAUUGGCAUCCAUUCAAUAUUUAUUUUAUGUUUGGAAAUGCAAGAAAAAGGCAUGCAUUCCUGACAAGUCAAUGAUUGGUUGCACCUCUUAAAGAUAACUUUCUGUUAUGAGAAAAGAUGAGAUUCUUGGACUCCUGCAUAGCACCACCAGAAAGGAAAAUCCCAUCAUGUUGCAAAAUAAAAGUCUUGGACCAAUUUUAAUUUAAGAUAUAUAUAUUAUACUGUAAGCUCUAUACAUAUUUAUGUAUAUCCUGUCAUUCAGCCAACAGGUUUGGAUUUAGUAUUUCUUUAAAUCUGUUUGAUAUUGUACUUGAAAACUAUUAAUCUGAGCCCCAUUAAAACAAUAGUGAGUGCAGUGAAUGAGUGGUAAAGCACUUGGCUUCUGAACUGAGGGUUCCUGGGUUCGAUUAAGACUGGGAUUUUCAAUUUCAGAAUUCAAAAGGAUACAUGGCAAUAGUAAGGAAUAAAUAAAGGCAGUUUGGGGAUCCAUGGCUGAAUAUAAGUCAUGGGUUUGAAUCUCUGUGAAGACUCACAUUUAAAUUUUUUAGAUUUUUGGGUGCCCCUGAGUCCACCUAACUCUAAUGGGUAGCUGACUUUUGUUUUGGAAAGUAAAGAUGGUUGGUUGUUGUGCUGGCCACAUGAUGCACUGGCCAAAGAAUCAAAUGACCUUAAUAUCAUCUGCCCUAUAGAUUGUGAGGUCUGAAAUGGGAUUUUUUUUUCAAAAGGUGGUUGGUUGUUGUGCUGGGUACAUGACACCCUCGCUAACCAUGGGGCACAGAAACUGAUAAACUUUAUAUCAUCUGCCCCAUAGAUUGCAAGAUAUGUAAGGGAAAUUUUACUCUUUUAAAAUUAAAAUAAGAAUCUAACAAAAGUAAACAUAUAAAAUAUGGUGCAUUCUCCUUAAAACUAAAACCUGGUGCGAAGGUAUAAAAUGUUGGCAAAAAAAAGCAACAUCAUAUAUUCUUAAUUCCCUUUGCAAAACUUACUGAGAAGAACAUGCAUGUUGUUCCAUUAUAAGUUUCUUGACAGAGGAAAUCUUGUUUAUA